CCUACGGGAGGCAGCAGUGAGGAAUAUUGGUCAAUGGACGCAAGUCUGAACCAGCCAUGCCGCGUGCAGGAAGACGGCUCUAUGAGUUGUAAACUGCUUUUGUACGAGGGUAAACGCAGAUACGUGUAUCUGUCUGAAAGUAUCGUACGAAUAAGGAUCGGCUAACUCCGUGCCAAGCCGCGGUAAUACGGAGGAUUCAAGCGUUAUCCGGAUUUAUUGGGUUUAAAGGGUGCGUAGGCGGUCGGAUAAGUUAGAGGUGAAAUCCCGAGGCUCAACUUCGGAAUUGCCUCUGAUACUGUUAGGCUAGAGAGUAGUUGCGGUAGGCGGAAUGUAUGGUGUAGCGGUGAAAUGCUUAGAGAUCAUACAGAACACCGAUUGCGAAGGCAGCUUACCAAGCUACGUCUGACGUUGAGGCACGAAAGCGUGGGGAGCAAACAGGAUUAGAUACCCGAGUAGUC
rnacentral:rRNA from 1 species